GACAGAGGUGCCAAGCGUUAGGCGGAAUCACUGGGCUUAAAGCGUGUGUAGGCGGACUCGUAAGUACCUUGUGAAAUCCCACGGCUCAACCGUGGAACUGCUUGGUAUACUGCUUGUCUUGAGCCACUUAGGGGCUGUCGGAACAAACGGUGGAGCGGUGAAAUGCGCAGAUAUCGGGAGGAACACCAAUGGCGAAGGCAGCUCGCUGGGACGGUACUGACGCUGAGGCGCGAAAGCGUGGGGAGCAAACAGG
rnacentral:rRNA from 1 species